rnacentral:rRNA from 1 species
CGCAAUGGGCGAAAGUCUGACGGAGCAACGCCGCGUGAUGGAUGAAGUGCCUUGGUACGUAAACAUCUUUUAUCGGGGACGAAGUUUAUUGACGGUACCCGAUGAAUAAGGGGCUCCUAACUCUGUGCCAGCAGGAGCGGUAAUACAGAGGCCCCAAGCAUUACCCGGAAUCACUGGGCGUAAAGGGUGUCGAGGCGGCGCUAUUAGUCCUUCGUUAAAUGUCCGGGCUCAACCUGGUCACCGCGAAGGAAACGGUAGCGCUCGAGGGCGUAAGAGGUGCACGGAACUCAUGGUGGAGGGGUGAAAUCCAUUGAUAUUAUGGGGAACACCAAAGGCGAA